rnacentral:rRNA from 1 species
GACUGGGGGGGUGCUAUACAUGCAAGUAGAACGCUGAAGAGAGGAGCUUGCUCUUCUUGGAUGAGUUGCGAACGGGUGAGUAACGCGUAGGUAACCUGCCUUGUAGCGGGGGAUAACUAUUGGAAACGAUAGCUAAUACCGCAUAACAAUGGAUGACACAUGUCAUUUAUUUGAAAGGGGCAAUUGCUCCACUACAAGAUGGACCUGCGUUGUAUUAGCUAGUAGGUGAGGUAACGGCUCACCUAGGCGACGAUACAUAGCCGACCUGAGAGGGUGAUCGGCCACACUGGGACUGAGACACGGCCCAGACUCCUACGGGAGGCAGCAGUAGGGAAUCUUCGGCAAUGGGGGCAACCCUGACCGAGCAACGCCGCGUGAGUGAAGAAGGUUUUCGGAUCGUAAAGCUCUGUUGUAAGUCAAGAACGAGUGUGAGAGUGGAAAGUUCACACUGUGACGGUAGCUUACCAGAAAGGGACGGCUAACUACGUGCCAGCAGCCGCGGUAAUACGUAGGUCCCGAGCGUUGUCCGGAUUUAUUGGGCGUAAAGCGAGCGCAGGCGGUUUGAUAAGUCUGAAGUUAAAGGCUGUGGCUCAACCAUAGUUCGCUUUGGAAACUGUCAAACUUGAGUGCAGAAGGGGAGAGUGGAAUUCCAUGUGUAGCGGUGAAAUGCGUAGAUAUAUGGAGGAACACCGGUGGCGAAAGCGGCUCUCUGGUCUGUAACUGACGCUGAGGCUCGAAAGCGUGGGGAGCGAACAGGAUUAGAUACCCUGGUAGUCCACGCCGUAAACGAUGAGUGCUAGGUGUUGGAUCCUUUCCGGGAUUCAGUGCCGCAGCUAACGCAUUAAGCACUCCGCCUGGGGAGUACGACCGCAAGGUUGAAACUCAAAGGAAUUGACGGGGGCCCGCACAAGCGGUGGAGCAUGUGGUUUAAUUCGAAGCAACGCGAAGAACCUUACCAGGUCUUGACAUCCCGAUGCUAUUUCUAGAGAUAGAAAGUUACUUCGGUACAUCGGUGACAGGUGGUGCAUGGUUGUCGUCAGCUCGUGUCGUGAGAUGUUGGGUUAAGUCCCGCAACGAGCGCAACCCCUAUUGUUAGUUGCCAUCAUUCAGUUGGGCACUCUAGCGAGACUGCCGGUAAUAAACCGGAGGAAGGUGGGGAUGACGUCAAAUCAUCAUGCCCCUUAUGACCUGGGCUACACACGUGCUACAAUGGUUGGUACAACGAGUUGCGAGUCGGUGACGGCAAGCUAAUCUCUUAAAGCCAAUCUCAGUUCGGAUUGUAGGCUGCAACUCGCCUACAUGAAGUCGGAAUCGCUAGUAAUCGCGGAUCAGCACGCCGCGGUGAAUACGUUCCCGGGCCUUGUACACACCGCCCGUCACACCACGAGAGUUUGUAACACCCGAAGUCGGUGAGGUAACCUUUUGGAGCCAGCCGCCUAAGGUGGAUGGGUGG